GCCACCUUAGCUCAGCGGUAGAGCAACUGUUUUGUAAACAGUAGGUCCCGAGUUCGAAUCUCGGAGGUGGCUCCG
rnacentral:tRNA from 1 species